AAGUCGUAACAAGGUUUCCGUAGGUGAACCUGCGGAAGGAUCAUUAGCGAAUAAACUUGUGUGGGUUGUCGCUGACCUCCUCGGAGGUAUGUGCACACCUGCCAUUGUUUCAUUCAAUCCAUUCCCACCUGUGCACUCUCUGUAGGCCAAACCAUCAACGUUUCGGGCUCUCUCCAGGGCCUGGUGUGAGGAACUGCUCCGGCUUUCCUUGGAUGGGUGUGGACUAUGUUUUUAUCAACACUGCAUGUAAUUGAAUGUCUGUUCUGGGCUCUAUAUGACCCAUAAAACCUUAUACAACUUUCAACAACGGAUCUCUUGGCUCUC
rnacentral:misc_RNA from 1 species